rnacentral:rRNA from 1 species
CAGUAGCCACGGUAAUACGGAGGGUGCAAGCGUUAAUCGGAAUUACUGGGCGUAAAGCGUGCGUAGGCGGUUCGUUAAGUCUGUUGUGAAAGCCCCGGGCUCAACCUGGGAAUGGCAAUGGAUACUGGCGAGCUAGAGUGUGUCAGAGGAUGGUGGAAUUCCCGGUGUAGCGGUGAAAUGCGUAGAGAUCGGGAGGAACAUCAGUGGCGAAGGCGGCCAUCUGGGACAACACUGACGCUGAGGCACGAAAGCGUGGGGAGCAAACAGGAUUAGAGACCCCUGUAGUCCCUGUCUCUUAUAA